UCCGGUUUAACACCGGCAGUCUCCUUAGAGUCCCCGGCAUGACCCGCUGGCAACUAAGGACAAGGGUUUCGCUCGUUAAGCGACUUAACGCGACAUCUCACGACACGAGCUGACGACAGCCAUGCACCACCUGUGCGGGGCCCCGAAGGACACCGUAUCUCUACGGCUUUUCCGUACAUGUCAAGCCUUGGUAAGGUUCUUCGCGUUGCAUCGAAUUAAGCAACAUGCUCCACCGCUUGUGCGGGCCCCCGUCAAUUCCUUUGAGUUUCAGUCUUGCGACCGUACUCCCCAGGCGGCGAACUUAACGCGUUAGCUUCGACACUGAGAGCCAAGUUGCUCCCAACGUCCAGUUCGCAUCGUUUAGGGCGUGGACUAC
rnacentral:misc_RNA from 1 species